GACGAACGCUGGCGGCGUGCUUAACACAUGCAAGUCGAACGGAAAGGCCCUGCUUUUGUGGGGUGCUCGAGUGGCGAACGGGUGAGUAACACGUGAGUAACCUGCCCUUGACUUUGGGAUAACUUCAGGAAACUGGGGCUAAUACCGGAUAGGAGCUCCUGCUGCAUGGUGGGGGUUGGAAAGUUUCGGCGGUUGGGGAUGGACUCGCGGCUUAUCAGCUUGUUGGUGGGGUAGUGGCUUACCAAGGCUUUGACGGGUAGCCGGCCUGAGAGGGUGACCGGCCACAUUGGGACUGAGAUACGGCCCAGACGCCUACGGGAGGCAGCAGUGGGGAAUGUUGGACAAUGGGCGGAAGCCUGAUGCAGCAACGCCGCGUGCGGGAUGACGGCCUUCGGGUUAUAAACCGCUUUCGCCUGUGACGAAGCGUGAGUGACGGUAAUGGGUAGAGAAGCACCGGCUAACUACGUG
rnacentral:rRNA from 1 species